GCUUCGGCAUCAGAUACAGUAUUGGUUAUAGUUGUUAUAAUGUUAACAAUGUAAUGGUAAUAGGUAUUGUUUCAAUAUCCGAUGUCAGGAUUUUCACUCAGUGCAAUAUAUUUGUUUGAAUUUUCUUGUGACUCAUGUUUGUGUAUGGUUUUAAAUAAAAUAUAAAAAAAAACUCUGGGUGUAUGAAUCCUGUGUUCAGGAAGAUGUUAAAAACACCGUGAAGAAAUGACUCAUUCAAAGGGUUCAAGCUCAGCUUCGAAGCCUCGAAGCUGAGGUUCACGAAGCUUAUUUUCCCUCACUGUGGUUGUAGCAGCUACUACAGGACGGUCGCGUCACUACACUCUCCUACCUACAGAUAUGAUUUCAUCGUAGACUUUUUGAAAGGAAUCUGAACCUAUCUCUUCGGAGAUGUUCAAGCAUCUAAAACUUCCUCACAAUUCAUCACUUGCACGUGACAAGGAAGCAUGUGAACGACCUUGGUGUCUCCACCUCCAGGUCAACCUUCGUAACUCAUAACCUCGAGAAAAACAAGAGCUCUUUUUCCUGAGGAGUGGCGUCCUUGUAGCCAGGAUUUAAAGACUUCUUUAAAGCUAACUCAAGCGACCACAGAGGACUAGAGUUGAAAGUCAGGCUAAAUAACACAUAUCAGAAACUCAACAAUUUCCUCUAUGCGCAGCUUCAUUUUCGUUGUUGCUGGUCCAGAGGAGGAUGCUGGCGUGAUGCUGUAAGUGCCGCCCAGAGGAGGAUGCUGGCGUGAUGCUGUAAGUGCCGCCCAGAGGAGGAUGCUGGCGUGAUGCUGUAAGCGCCGCCCAGAGGAGGAUGCUGGCGUGAUGCUGUAAGCGCCGCCCAGAGGAGGAUG